rnacentral:tRNA from 1 species
GCGUCCUUAGUACAGUGGUUAGUACACUUGACAUGGAAUAAGAGACAUGGGUUCAACUCCCAUAGGACACA